UAGGGAAUCUUCGGCAAUGGACGAAAGUCUGACCGAGCAACGCCGCGUGAGUGAAGAAGGUUUUCGGAUCGUAAAACUCUGUUGUUAGAGAAGAACAAGGGUGAGAGUAACUGUUCACCCCUUGACGGUAUCUAACCAGAAAGCCACGGCUAACUACGUGCCG
rnacentral:rRNA from 1 species